rnacentral:rRNA from 1 species
CCGCGUGAGUGAUGAAGGCCUUCGGGUUGUAAAGCUCUUUAGUCCACGAAUAUAAUGACUGUAGUGGAAGAAUAAGCCCGGCUAACUUCGUGC